AACUGUGAGUCUUGAGAGCAGGAGAGGAAAGUGGAAUUCCACGUGUAGCGGCGAAAUGCGUAGAGAUGUGGAGGAACACCAGUGGCGAAGGCGACUUUCUGGACUGUACUGACGCUGAGGCGCGAAAGCGUGGGGAGCGAACAGGAUUAGAUACCCUGGUAGUCCACGCCCGUAAACGAUGAAUGCUAGGUGUAGAGGGUAUCGACCCUUCUGUGCCGAAGUUAACACAAUAAGCAUUCCGCUGGGGAGUACGGCCGCAAGGUUGAAACUCAAAGGAAUUGACGGGGGGCCCGCACAAGCCGGUGGAGCAUUGUGGUUUAAUUCGACGCAACGCGAAGAACCUUACCAAGGCUUGACAUUCCUUAGAAUCCCGCAGAGAUAGGGGAGUGCCCUUCGGGGAGCUAGAGACAGGUGUGCAUGGGUUGUCGUCAGCUUCGUUUCGUGAAGAUGUUUGGUUAAAUUCCGCACGAGCGCAACCCUAUUUUAGUGCCAGCAUGAAAGAUGGAACUCU
rnacentral:rRNA from 1 species